rnacentral:rRNA from 1 species
GAGUUUGAUCCUGACUCAGAGCGAACGCUGGCGGCGUGCUUAACACAUGCAAGUCGAACGCGCAGUUUUCUGUAGCAAUACAGGGGACGGGCGCGUGGCGAACGGGUGCGUAACACGUGGGUAACCUUCCCUCAUGUGGGGGAUAACCCGCCGAAAGGCGGGCUAAUACCGCAUAACAUUCCGAUGGCCUCGGCUGUUGGAAUCAAAGCCCGCAAGGGCGCAAGAGGAGGGACCCGCGGCCGAUUAGCUUGUUGGCGAGGUAAUGGCUCACCAAGGCAUUGAUCGGUAGCCGGACUGAGAGGUUGGCCGGCCACACUGGAACUGAGACACGGUCCAGACUCCUACGGGAGGCAGCAGUGGGGAAUCUUGCGCAAUGGGCGAAAGCCUGACGCAGCAACGCCGCGUGGGGGAUGAAGCUUCUCGGAGUGUAAACCCCUUUCGACCCGGACGAAGGCCCGCAAGGGCUUGACGGUACGGGUAUAAGAAGCCCCGGCUAACUACGUGCCAGCAGCCGCGGUAAAACGUAGGGGGCCAGCGUUGCUCGGAAUUACUGGGCGUAAAGGGUCCGUAGGCGGUGUGGCAAGUCGGUAGUGAAAUCUCUGGGCUUAACUCAGAGGCUGCUGCCGAAACUGCUGUGCUCGAGUGCGAGAGAGGCGAGUGGAAUUGCAGGUGUAGCGGUGAAAUGCGUAGAUAUCUGCAGGAACAUCCGAGGCGAAAGCGGCUCGCUGGAUCGCAACUGACGCUGAGGGACGAAAGCUAGGGGAGCAA